AAACAAAGGACCCAAUAGAUAAAUAGCCCACCAAGGGUCCAAACAGGCAAAUCCAUAGCCAUUAAACGACACUAUUUUUCAAACCCCAAAAAAACUUUUAACAAACAUAUCAUUUCAUUUUCUUCAAAAACAGAGAAGGGAGGGGAGAACUCUCUGCUAGGGUUCUUUUCUCAACCCAAACCCCAGCCACACCACUGCCAUGACGCCGCCCAAAGCACCACCCUUGACGGCAGUUUGAAGGGACCGAACCAAAGGUAGGCACCUCCAUUCUUUCUUUUCUUAUUAUUUUCUGCUAUUAGAAGAUAUAAAAACAUGUAAACAAAAUCGAAAAAAAAACUCUAAAAACGACGAAAAUCACCUUUCCAAAAAAAUGUUUUCUGAUUCCUUGUUCUUGUAUUUUUUCAAUCCAACAUUCCUUUCCCCCUUUUCCUUUUUUUUAUUUGAUUUCCUCCCUUUUUAUAUUUUAAGAGAAAAUAAAAAAAAGUAAAUAAUAAAUAAUAAAUAAAAUCGAACACCCACAAAGUAAACUAAAAAAUAAUCACCUCCGCUUUCCAAAAAUUUUGAAUCUGUUUUCUUUUCUUUGUAUUCUCUUUCGUUCCAAAAAAAAAAAUAUCUUUUGUUACAAUGUUUGAGUCUGCUUUUUAUAGCAGACCAAUGAAAAAAAGAAAAAAAAAGAAAAAAGGUAUGAAAUUUCUAUUGCAUCUUUGCUUGCUGAAUUUCCUCUGAGUUUCUCGUUAUUCUGCCGAUUCUAUCUUGUUGCCUUUCUUGUCGUGCAGGUGAAGGCGGCUCGUGCAAGGCGCUUGGUUGCGGUGCUGAAGACUCCCUUAGAAACCCUAGGGUUUCUUCAUUUGUUUUGGGCCACUUGUAUUUUGGGCCUUGUAUUCUAGGCCAGCUCGUUAAAAUACUGGACUUUUUUAUUUUAUUUUUAUUUAUAAAAGGGCCGGGUAAAAUUUAGGUAUUACAGUAUCCAUUAUCAACUCCAACAAGGUGGACCCAAACAUCAAAAUCAAAAUAAUAUUCUAAAACCUUAUUGUCUAUCCUUUUCAUAAUUUCAGCGAUAAAAUAAUAAUUAUACUUUACAAUUUUCUUCCGCCACCUUAAUAUAUUGUCAAGGGUAUUGUUGAGAUCUAGGAGUGAGAGAAGAUUUCAACAGUAUAAUCUAAAAUGAAUUUCUUUGGACUCAAUUCCAGGAAGGACUAAAAGCAACCCAGGAAAGAAGAAGACUCUUCUUGGGACCUCUUAAAGACGUCAACAUAGUCCUAACUUAGAGGGGCAACCAAACCUUCGCGCUGCUGAAUGGAGGAAAGAUACGGCCACAAUAAGGUAUCAAAACUAUCGAUGCUCGGAAUAUUUAAAAAGGUAUCAUCUAUGCCAUUCUUCGUUACAUUCUUUAUUAUUAUUAUUAUUAAUAUAAUGCCAGAAUUAUUUAUAAUCCAUACUCAACUCUUAAAUUGAAGUAUAAAUGCAUUUCAGUAUACUCAAACUCACGUGCUCUUGUCAUUAAAAAAAGAAGUCUACGGUUGAGAGAUUGUAUCACAAUAAUAUAGGUCACAACACAAACGAUUACCUUCACUUGAUGGAUGCCAUUAAAGCAACUGUAAGGAGGGGAUACCUGAAAAUAUUCAUAAAGGGAACACCUCAUUCCUUAAAAAAAUAAAGGGAGGAGGCAUCACAAUAAAUAAAUAAGCUCUGGAAGUCGUAGAAUAUUGAUGCAAAAGGUCUCAGGAUGCUGGCACACUACAACCAAUGCCCUUCAAAAGUGAAGAUAAAAGGGGGUCUGGCUUAAUAGGCAAUUGAUUGUGUACGCUUGGCAAGAUGGAUGACACAGUUGAGGAGGCCAUAAAAUAAAAAGCAACAACAAGAGCUUGGGUUUUUAAACUGAUACCUUGUGAAAGAACAAAUUAAAGAGAAAACUUUGAUUUUGUAAUUCACUAUUGAUGCAAUAAAGAGGUACACUUUAUAAGAGGAAACAGAUUAUAUUUACAAGUCUUACUUGAAAUUCUAAAAGUAAGUAGGGUGAUCUUCCUGUCUUUGACUCAUUCUUGUAACACUCAAAGCCUUAAUGGUUUGGUUGAUGAAGGCUGGCAAGCUUAUCACCAACUUCAGGAUGCUUAGCUCGGAAACUCUCUUGUCACCAACACUAUCUUUGACUCAUUCGUGUUGACUUUGAUGAAUGCAAAGUCUUGCUUCCCUCCACUAACCGCUCUAAUGUUGAUGACUUGUCAAGAUCGUCAUAUAUGGGGAAAAUCAACUGUGCUUGAUAAAGAGGGCAUAAUCACCAUUGUGAAAUAUUGCGAUGGUCAAAUUUUGGCCGGAUCCAACUAGUAAGGACUUGGUCCGUCUUAAUGGUUGAACCUCUACAAUUAAGUCUAGUUCAUCUUUGAUACACUGUACUAAUUGGAACAAUGUUAUUAUUGAAAACGAUCGUAAAAAGUCCUAAUUGCAACUCUCGUAAGUACAGAAUAUAUGUAACUAUUGAAGAUUACAUCUUUCGAGGAACUCAAUUGAAAUACGUGACUUAAUUUUCUGGGAAAAAAAAAAGGGGGUGAAAGAUUAGGUGGCAGACCUACUCGGAUAAAUUGUUGUCCUAUUAACUAGGCUAGUGCCCUUCAUUCUAAGCUGUACAAGCUCCUUCAGCUUUGCUGGACUUUGUUAUUAAUUACCCAAAAAAAAUAUUACGAUAAUCGAAUUUAUAUAAUUAAUAUACUAAAACCAAAUUUAUAUAAUUAACAAUUUGUAAGUUGUUCAAGCAAAACAGUGAAAUAUUUGAAUUCAACUCGAGUUGCUCAAGUUUGGUUUAAGUUCAAUAAUAAUAAAACCAAAUUCAUUUUUUUAAUAUAAUUAAUAUACUAAAAAAAUUCAAUAUAAUUUAUACCCAUUAAGCCUAUCACAAAAAUACAUAAAAAGAGAGAUAAGUUGAAAGGAGAAAAAGGAUUUCUCAUAAGACCAUGUAUCUUGUCAGUAAUUUAUGCUCUUUCAUCUCUAACACCUUUGAUAACAGGGGUGUAUAAGGAACCCUGAGUCAACAAGGUCCAAGACAGCAAGCUAUUAACAGAGUUGUAUAAUCUCUACCUCCAGGGGAUGGGGAUGAUGGAAGGGACAAGGGCUUCUUCGGAGGAGCUGAUAUUGUCAAGGACAAGGUCAAUAAUAUGAUUUAGGUUUGUAGAAGACUCCACGCUCCCUCUAUUAUCCAAGCUCUCCAAUCUUUCUUUAAAUGCAGAGAACAGGGUGUCAACAUGUCUAGCCUUUUGAAUAGCAGAUAGAAGUGGAACAACUACAUCUUAAGUGAAUUGGUUAGUAGCCCAGCCCCAGCACUAUACUACAUCAAAGUACUGUUGUAGUAGGUUCAAGUCAGUCAUUUCGAUGCCAAGGGGCGGCCAGAUAGAUAUCAUGCGAAGUAAUACAUUC
rnacentral:lncRNA from 1 species